rnacentral:rRNA from 1 species
UACGUAGGGACCGAGCGUUGUCCGGAUUCAUUGGGCGUAAAGAGCUCGUAGGCGGCUGCUCAAGUCGAAUGUGAAAACUCGAGGCUCAACCUCGAGCCUGCAGUCGAUACGGGCAGACUAGAGUGCUGUAGGGGAGACUGGAAUUCCUGGUGUAGCGGUGAAAUGCGCAGAUAUCAGGAGGAACACCGGUGGCGAAGGCGGGUCUCUGGGCAGUAACUGACGCUGAGGAGCGAAAGCGUGGGGAGCGAACAGG